CACUCCGCAUUCCUCCGUCUGAAAAAGCUGGCACACUUCAGCCCACCAGAAAAAAAAAAAAAAAAAAAAAAAGCGCUGUGUGUUUCCAGCACAACACCAAGAAGUAUUUUUUUUUCUCCCUCCGUAUCCUCUUAGCACCGCUCCUGAUAAAAUAUGACUUCGGAAUCUAUGGACAACGAUUAUUUCUCGCAUCUUUUCUUCUUAGAAAUUGCUUAGCCAGCUCCAGUCACUGACAAGAAAACUUCUCGGGACUCAUGUAGCUGAAGAGGCAAACAUCACAGACCCCUAAAAAAUCCAAAAAUAUUUCUUUUUCAUUGUUUUGGAUUUUUUUUUUCUUUAAGGGGCUGUAGUUUCUUGGAGUUCUACUGAGAGUAAAAUGGUGCUUAUAGCCAUCUGAAAUCCCUCCACCACCGCCACCCCCAUCCCAAGAUUCCUAUGGCUUCAGUAGAGAGCUUCUGGGACCAAAUGCUACAUCCUUGCCACCGGUGGUACCCAAGGACGCCUUCCUCUCGUGGGUGCUUCUGAAUGUAAGUUUAAGCCUCCCCUAAGUCCAUGGUGAUGAAGCGGUUUCUCCUGGGCUGCCAACUCAUUGCCUCAACUCUGUCCAGCUCAGUAGGUCCAUGCAGUUUCUGAGGAAGGGAAAAGAUGGGGCUCGUCAGUGCUUGUUCUCAGGGGAUCCCUAAAGACAUGCUCGAUCUCACUCUGAUCACUCUCAGGCUGACACCAAGUUCCUCCUUAUGGUGCCUCCUUCCUCGGCCUCGUGGUGCUGGUUUCACAGCACAAGACCGUUAGAGUCCACACGGGUGGAGCAGAGGACACAGGUAUGGCUGAUGGAACAGCAAGCUGAGCGCUCACGUCGUGAACUACAAGCAGGAAGCAGAGAGAGCAAACCUGGAAUGGCGUGUGGCUUUUGAAACCCCAGAGCCCACACCCAGUGACUUCCUUCCUUUAGCAAGGUCACACAGCUAUUCAGCAUUCCCAAGCAAUGUCCCCAAUUGGGGACCAAGUAUUCAGACGCCUGAGCCUAUGGGGGACAUUCUCAUUCAAACCACCACAGUGCCUGGAGUCUCAGUUACCUGGGAGCCUAAGGCUGGAGGAUCACAAGUUCAAGGCUAAUCUGGGAUAUUUAAGGAGACCCUUAGAUUGAAACAAAGCAAAAUGAAAAUAAAUGCAAAUAUAAAGAGACAACAG